UUAAAUACUGCCCUUGGACGACCAGAGCAUCCUAGUUGUGUUCGUACAGCUGGGGUUGCUGUUACUAUUGGUAAUUACUUUGGACCGUUAUCACAGGGGUCAUCCUUAUCUAGAUUGAGCCCACAGGAUCUUGAAGCCCUCACGCAACAAAUAUAUGCACGGGUCACAAAAACUUUAAUGGAAAAGUACCCAAAUAUGAGUACUGCAUAGUCACAGGAUGUUCCUCCAGUUGAGGUAGAUCAUGCUAUCGUGGCCCGUGUUAGCACUAAAGGCAGUUGUCAAACUCCUUCAACUGGUACUGUUCCUGGUAAUCCCUUUGGAGAUGAGGUUGAUGCAAAUAUCUCCAAUAAGUGUGAGUUAUGCAUUGAGGGGAUUCCUCCACUUGUAGUGGCCAUUGGUAGAGUUUGUGAGGGGAGUUCAACUAUACACAACGUGCCUUUGACAAAUGAUUUGGUCAAGGUGGUCAUUGAGGAAGUUCGAGAUUCUAAUGCUCGAGUUCCCAUACCUACUUCAGAGGUUCAAUUGGUUGGGCAGGCCUUAAAAACUUUCAUUGCGUGGCCGACACAUCUUGUCAGACCUAUUUCAACCACGGAUAUUCAUCGAGCAAAUAAACGAGUUCCAUCUAUUGAUAGGUCAGAACCUAAUGGUGAUCCUAUCACUGGGUUACGUGAGGUAACAAAGUCCUUACUUUUUGGACAACCAUUUCAGGUGAUAUGUCCUGCAAGUCUAUUUGGGAU